rnacentral:rRNA from 1 species
UGGGGGAAACCCUGACGCAGCAACGCCGCGUGGAGGAUGACACUUUUCGGAGCGUAAACUCCUUUUCUUAGGGAAGAAUUCUGACGGUACCUAAGGAAUAAGCACCGGCUAACUCCGUGCCAGCAGCCGCGGUAAUACGGAGGGUGCAAGCGUUACUCGGAAUCACUGGGCGUAAAGGGCGCGUAGGCGGAUUAUCAAGUCUCUUGUGAAAUCUAAUGGCUUAACCAUUAAACUGCUUGGGAAACUGAUAGUCUAGAGUGAGGGAGAGGCAGAUGGAAUUGGUGGUGUAGGGGUAAAAUCCGUAGAUAUCACCAAGAAUACCCAUUGCGAAGGCGAUCUGCUGGAACUCAACUGACGCUAAGGCGCGAAAGCGUGGGGAGCAAACAGGAUUAGAUACCCUGGUAGUCCACGCCCUAAACGAUGUACACUAGUUGUUGGGGUGCUAGUCAUCUCAGUAAUGCAGCUAACGCAUUAAGUGUACCGCCUGGGGAGUACGGUCGCAAGAUUAAAACUCAAAGGAAUAGACGGGGACCCGCACAAGCGGUGGAGCAUGUGGUUUAAUUCGAAGAUACGCGAAGAACCUUACCUGGGCUUGAUAUCCUAAGAACCUUAUAGAGAUAUGAGGGUGCUAGCUUGCUAGAACUUAGAGACAGGUGCUGCACGGCUGUCGUCAGCUCGUGUCGUGAGAUGUUGGGUUAAGUCCCGCAACGAGCGCAACCCACGUAUUUAGUUGCUAACGGUUCGGCCGAGCACUCUAAAUAGACUGCCUUCGUAAGGAGGAGGAAGGUGUGGACGACGUCAAGUCAUCAUGGCCCUUAUGCCCAGGGCGACACACGUGCUACAAUGGCAUAUACAAUGAGACGCAAUACCGCGAGGUGGAGCAAAUCUAUAAAAUAUGUCCCAGUUCGGAUUGUUCUCUGCAACUCGAGAGCAUGAAGCCGGAAUCGCUAGUAAUCGUAGAUCAGCCAUGCUACGGUGAAUACGUUCCCGGGUCUUGUACUCACCGCCCGUCACACCAUGGGAGUUGAUUUCACUCGAAGCCGGAAUACUAAACUAGUUACCGUCCACAGUGGAAUCAGCGACUGGGG